CUGCCCAUUGUGAGAUCUGCACAUUUUGCGAUCUGCCCAUUAUGAGAACUGCACAUUUUGCGAUCUGCCCAUUAUGAGAUCUGCACAUUUUGCGAUUUGCCCAUUAUGAGAUCUGCACAUUUUGCUGUUUGCUCAUUGUGAGAUCUGCACAUUUUGCGAUUUGCUCAUUUUACCUAACCUGCACAUUUUGCGACUUGCACAUUCAGCUAUGCAUCCAUUUGUUCGUAAGUGUGACAGGGAGGCAACACGUCGAACGUGGUUCGCGGUAGCCUCUCAGUUUAUUUGACCCUCGCCAUUUUGCGGAUUUUCAAUAGUACUAAUUUAUUUUACUGGCAACAAGUACUCUUUCUUUGUACUGUUUGACAACGAACGUUGGAUGUCAUCCAAUGUCACCGAUGUAAACAGAAAAUAUCUACGAAUAUAUUCUAAUAUAAACUGUUUUAUUACAAAAUUGCCAAUAAAAAUUUCCAAACAUGCGAAAAAAAUUGUAGUCAAUGCAAGACGAAUGAUUACAUAGCAUUCCAAUAAACAAUGUUUUAAAGUUGGUUGUUGACAUGACCAGUAUUGACAUUUUAUAGUGCGGUUGUAUUGAACUGGUUAGUAGUUUGGUUUAAACUUUAAUAUUUCAUUUAAGGUUUAUGUAGAUCGACGAUAAAAAAUAUUUCUAAAAAUAAUGAGACGGUCUUGACUUUGCCACCUGUACAAAACAAAGCCCCGCACAAAAAGAGAAUUCAAAUAGACUACUUCGAUAAAUGUGCCAUAAGGCGUGCGAAAACAAGUACCGAGUAUCAAAACUCUGCUCACUGCUUUGAAAAAAGACAUUGGAUUUACAGGCAGCAGAGAGUACUUACGAAAACUGAUGCACAGUAUGGGAUUCAAAUAUAAAAAAUGUAGAAACCAACGUUCAAUAUUGAUGGAGCGUUCCGAUAAUUCCGAUAUUGUGGUUUGGCGUAAAAGUUAUUUGGAUCAAAUACAAGAAGUAAGGGAUAAAAAUAUGCCUAUAGUUUAUUUGGACGAGACCUACAUUCAUACUUCUCUAGGGUCGGAAACGUGCAUUUAACUCCUCUGGAGUUGCAGGCGUACAUGGGCUACGGAGACUGCUUACCAUCAGGCGGGCCGUAUGCUUGUUUGCCACCGACGUAGUAUAAAAAAAUAAAGAAUAAAAAUAAUUUUAAGAAAUGGGUUACGCAAAAAUUAAUUCCCAAUAUUAGUGAACCCACAUGUAUAGUUAUGGAUAAUGCCCCCAAAGAUUGGUGGAGAUUUAGAGACGUCACAGACCUGAACCAAUAUAUGAAAUAGACACGAUUCUCUCCAUAUACCGACACAAAGUGAUAAGAUUACCGCCAUAUCACUGUGAUUUAAAUCCUAUUGAGAUGAUUUUGGGGCAUUAUCCCGAAUGAAGGUUGAGGGAGGCGAUGGCUGAGAUACGCGUCAUACUCGUGAACGGGUGCUGUUUGUGGAGACUGGUCUGAUUAAGGGGAAACUUGGCGUGGGGCAUGCAGUGUACAUGGAUAACUAUUAUAAUUCAGUUGAAUUGGCGGAAUAUUUACAUAUGUCACGGGGACCCUACGCAGUAACAGGAAGGGUAACCCAACAGAAGUAAUAAAAAAGAAAUUAAAAAGCAGGAAAAGUUGGCAAUGUUUAAUGAUAGUGGCAUAUGUGUUACAAAGUGGAACGACCGCCGAGAUGUUCUAAUGAUUUCGUCGGAACAUAAUAGUGAAUUUGAAAACUACACGGGUUCAAAUAAUGUGACCAAAACAACCCCGGGUCGUACUUCAGUACAAUAAACACAUGGGCGGGGUCGACAAGCACGACCAAAUGAUGUCUUACUAUAACCCCGAGCAUAAAACCUUGAGAUGGUACAAAAAAUUGGGCGUGCAUAUAUUUAGCACCAUAAUGUGGAAGUGUAAUGCGCACUCUCUGUAUAAUAGGUAUGGUGAGAAACCAAUGCCCUUAUACGAUUUUAGACAAACGAUUAUUCGGGCAUUAGUUUCGAGCCAGCAAAGGUGUAACAGACUCCCGCCUACUCUUGUCGACCGCCACGCAUCUUUUAAAUUACCCCGGGACCCUGUAUCAAAGAACAGAAAAUGGAAAAGAUGUGCGCAGUGUUGGAAAACCAAAAAGGUGAGAGUAGACACGAGAGACUAUUGCCCAAAGAGCCCAAAACAGCCAGGGUUAUGUCAGGGGUUAUGCUUUGUAGAGUUUCACAAAAAUGUGUUAUAAGUAUUGUAGUUACCUAAGUAGAUACAUAGUCAUAGACCUAUUUUUAUUUAUAUUGUUGUAAUUACUAUGUAUUUGUAUGUGUGUUGUUAUAUGUACGUACCUAAAAAUAAAUGCUGUUAAUGAAUCUA